rnacentral:lncRNA from 1 species
AAAAAAUCCUACAACCCAAGAAGAAAAAAAACUAUCCUAAGAAAACACUACAGAACACACAAACACUCUGCAAAGAAAAAAUCAGCAACCAAUUACACAACACAAUACUACAACAACCAACACAUAUACAUGACACACAACAAAAGAAAGGAAGAGAAAAAAAUCAGCAAAAUAUAUACACACAAAACGCCAGAAGGAG